UGCCGCUUCUGGACGGGCAGUCUCCGUUCCGCCCGACGCACUUCCUCCCGCGCUGCGGACGCCGCAGCCGGUCGGCGCUUCGGCCGCGAGGUGCGGCAACGGUCAGCGGCGGGCGGCGAGGCUUGCGCCGAGCCGCACCGUCGACCAGUCGCACCGAGGCGCGAGGCCCGACCGAGGUCUAGCCGUUCCCCGGUCGGGGAACGAGCCGUCUCCUUCGUUUCCAGGAAGCGAGCGCUCCGUCAGGCGUCCUCGGAGACGGCCCUGUCACUCCCCGUAGUGGCGGGCCGGCCGAGUCCGCCGGUGGUCGGAGAGCGGUCUCGCGGGAGCGUCUUCCGACGGCUAGCGGCGAGUAGGUCGGUCACCCACCCGACCCGUCUUGAAACACGGACCAAGGAGUCUAACAUGUGCGCGAGUCACGGGGUCUUGUUCAGGCCCACGGGCGCAAUGAAAGUGAAGGCCGCUCGCGGCCGACGUCGGGACUCUCCGCCGAGAGGCGGGGAAGCACCGACGACCCGUUCCGUCCGGCACGCCGGUCGAGCGGAGUCGGAGCGCACACGUUGGGACCCGAAAGAUGGUGAACUAUGCC
rnacentral:rRNA from 1 species